rnacentral:lncRNA from 1 species
AGAAAAAGGGUACGAGGGAGCAAUGGGAGAAAAUUGAGGAGUGCCUAAAGGAGGAGAAACUUGAGAUGUUGAGGGGAGAGAGCACACAAUAAUAGCCCUUUCACCUGCAUUGCCCUCUGGCAUGUCUCGAUCCGACUCAUCCCCGAAAGAGUAAUUAUCAAUGUCGUCAUAAUCUAGUUUCAGUUGGGUGGCUCUCUAUGCUUGCUUGGCCUCGUUUAUCUCUUCGUCCAAGUCCAGAUCGCCAUAAUGAAUAGCCCUUAGCAUUUUCAACUUGGAUUCUAGAAAUAUGACAUACUCAUAAUGGAUCUCAAAUUCCCUCGAAUCGGAGGCUAUGUUGUCUCUUUCACGCUUGAGCCUCUCCUCAUCAACUCUUGAAGCUCCAAGAUGUGCCUCAAGAGCCCUUUCUCUCUCCUCCAUAUUGUAAAGGUUGGCCGCUAGAAUGACUCACUACUUGGUAACCCUAUCUAAGAGGGACAACCUUUCGUUAAGAACUACUUCAAUUUGAAAAAUCCUCUUAGUAGACUGGGCUAGCUCAAACCUCACCCGCUCCAACUCCUCCAUCACUGCCUUGGCCCGGAAUCACGAGCUACCUUCAUAGAAUGUUCUCUCCAAACCUCAAUACAUCCAGCCUUGAUGAGGCCCUUUAGCUCCCCAAUCUCCCUCUCAAAGCGACGGGUCCUUUUCGCAAGCUGGAAAGACAUCAAAUUGUCCCGUACAGACAAAGGGAAGGUUUUAACAUCAACAUCAAAGCAAAAUACAACAUAGAAUCCAACAUAAAAACAUACUUGUAGAGUAUAAUUAAGCAUGUUGAUCACAAGAUGCGAGGUGGGCCUCUUCCCCAACCUCUAUAAGUCAACCCCCUCAAGAACCUCCUACAUAUUGUGUUUCUUCUGGGUAUUCAGGGAGGCACUAUCUUGGGAGGAGAUAGGGCUACUAGGAUUGUAUUCAGAGUAGGAUCGGAUGGAGGAAUUUAUAGAAUGACCUAUGCUUCCGCUGCAAGGGAACCAGUCUUCACCAACUUCUCAAAAUACCCUACCAGGAACGCCUCCUCCUAAGCAUCUAUGAAUACGAGACCAGACUACCAAGGAAGAGAGGGCCACUUCCCAAAGCUAGACCGAGUCCUUCUUCUAGGAAAGCCGGUAGGAGCAUUGCCGGAGCAUCGGCUUGAAAGUUUUUCUUGUUGUGCCUAGCUGUUGCAAGUUCCUGAAUCCUUUCUUGAGUAGCGGUCGAGAAAAGAUCAACCAAGGCCCAGGAUAGAGGUUUCUUCAACUGAGUGCCUGCAAAAAAGAAAGAUGAGUAUGACCAUAAGAAAUAAACAAAAACUUACAAAAAUACCAAAUAAACUAUGACUCCUGGCCCUUCACUCGGAAACUUUGGAGAUGUUCCUCAAAAAUCUCUCCAACAAUGGAGAACAUGAGAAGAUCAUUGCAACUCACUCCUCAAUGUGCGUGCCUCUCCAAGCGUGCAAAGAACGACUGUGAUUAGGAUAUCGGGGUGAAAGGCAAAAGAUAAUUUUAAGUGAAAAAUAGCACACCUACGAUUGUUAUUCGAACUCUCAGAGAAUGAUCUACCCACCAUUUAGGUAAGCGCCCAGAUAGGAAUAGAAAUUAAGGGAUCAUGCCACCCUCUAUCAUGAUUGCCCUCGGUGUCCACAAUCUUUCAGGUGCUCCAAUUAGCAAGAAUGAUGAUGCUACCCCAGUACAACUUACGAAGAAUAUAGAUGAAGAAUAUGUUGAAGAGAAAUAUUUACUAUGGCCAAAUUUGACACCUACGAAUGACCGUACUAACCUGAGCCAAACUAAUAUUAAAGUGCCAACAUAGAUCCCGGAUUAUAGAAUCUAUCAGGGGGUGGAUUUCAAAGUAAAAGGGUAAGUUUAGAAGAAAAUAUAACCCUCUAUAACUUAAAAUCUGCUUAGAGUCCAAGGGGACCCGAACGUCCACGUGCUCCCCGCCAUACUCUUCCUUUAACAGAUGAAGAUGAUGUGGUAACACUAGAGAGGGAAAAACAUCCACAGGGUAUGCAGUGCUAUUCCACACACCGUCGUCUGUCCAUAUAUCACAUGUAUUUGCAAAACCUCUUAAACAAUAGGCUCUAUCUCGGUCUUCGGCCUUUUACUAGAAUAAUCCUUUACCGUUUUCUUUCCUCUUGCCCUGAGCAGACUCAGACGCUUCACUAGAGAGUUAUGUCGCUAAAGAAGAUAGAGCCUCUAGGGAGGUGGCAGUAGCAGGAUGAAUAUCUUUUUUGUCCAUAGUGCUACGCAGGGAAACUAACACAAAGAAGGAAAAAGUGAGAACGCAAUUGAAUCA